UACGUAGGCAGCAAGCGUUGUUCGGAGUUACUGGGCGUAAAGGGUGUGUAGGCGGUUCUUUAAGUUUGGUGUGAAAUCUCCCGGCUCAACCGGGAGGGUGCGCCGAAUACUGAGGGACUUCGAGUGCGGGAGAGGAAAGUGGAAUUCCUGGUGUAGCGGUGAAAUGCGUAGAUAUCAGGAGGAACACCGGUGGUGUAGACGGCUUUCUGGACCGUAACUGACGCUGAGACACGAAAGCGUGGGUAGCAAACAGG
rnacentral:rRNA from 1 species